rnacentral:rRNA from 1 species
GUUGAACGCUGGCGGCGUGCCUAAUACAUGCCAGUCGAGCGAACAGACGAGGACGUUGCCCCUCUGACGGUAGCGGCGGACGUGUGAGUAACACGUGGAUCACCUCCCUAUAAGACUGGGAUCACUUCGGGAAACCGGAGCUCAUACCGGAUAAUAUAUUGAGCCGCAUGGUUCAAUAGUGAAAGACGGUUUUGCUGUCACUUAUAGAUGGAUCCGCGCCGCAUUAGGUAGUUGGUAAGGUAAAGGCUUACCAAGGCAACGAUGCGUAGCCGACCUGAGAGGGUGAUCAGCCACACUGGAACUGAGACACGGUCCAGACUCCUACGGGAGGCAGCAGUAGGGAAUCUUCGGCAAUGGGCGAAAGCCUGACGGAGCAACGCCGCGUGAGUGAUGAAGGUCUUCGGGUCGUAAAACGCUGUUAUUCGGGAAGAACAAAUGUGUAAGUAACUAUGCACGUCUUGACGGUACCUAAUCAGAAAGCCACGGCUAACUACGUG